AGGUGAGGACGAUGUUUAAAUUUACUUGAAGGUCCUAUGAAGGGGAUGAAAAAUAAAUAACAGAGUGGGAACUUACCUACUAGAAAGAGAACAUGCUAACUCAAGCCCGAUGAGCCCUACUUGCUGCUCACCUCACCGCCAUGUGGCCUGCGCUUCUAGAAAAUCUCCCUUAACCCGGCUUUUCCUGGAUGUCUUCUUGACAGAACUCUGGGAGGCAGGAGCCUUCAGGAUGAGGCAUCGCAAAGAUGGCUCGUACCCAGACCGGUGACCUCCAACAGAGACACGCCAGGAAGGUGGAAGGGGCCGUGUGGCAGGAUCAUGUUCUGGACUGGAAAGUACGUCUGCUCAUUACCUGACCUUUGCUAAGUACACCAACUAAUGGAGCGAGAGACGUGAAAGAUCUUCACAGGCCAUGUGGAAAUGUAAUUCAAACCCAGCUCGAGGAGGUCACCUGCAAAGACCUAAAAAUGAAUGAAAUACCACUUUACACCUUGGAGGCCCCCAGUCCAGUCACUCUCAGAGGAACCUUUUCAAUGUUGCCAAAUGGACAUCCAUUCAGCUCCUCUUUCAGCCCGCCUCCUCCCAGGACAGCUUAAUCUCUCUGUGGAAAAGGAGGAAAGCGACAAACACGCCAACCUCCGAACCUGUUUGCGCAUCUGGGGAAGAUAGAGGCCCCUCUUCCAGGGCUGUGGCAGCUACACCUGGCGAGCUGACACAUCCUAACUGCUCAGCAAAGGUGAUGAUGACUGUUACCACAUCCUGUGCCUGCUUGUCGUUCCUGGGUGUCCCACAGCACCUCACAGACACCACUUGCUCGUGAAACCAUUGUCCUGAUGUGGUUUGCCUCCUCACUACCAGAGGGGGAGCUCCAUGAGGGCAGGGUUCAUAUUCCAUUCAUCUCUGUCCCCAGCCCCGGUGCCCAGACCAGACCCUGGCAUGGAGCAGAAAUCAAGGAGCAUUUAUUGGCUGGAGGAAGGAGAAAACAACAGGCAGUUCAUUUUAAAAAUGCAGACCCUGAUGGUUCCCAGAAAUUCCAGUUGAUUCACGGUUUUUGACUGGAAUUGUAGUUUUCCCUGGAUUCAACAUUCAGCUGAACCCAAGGAGUGCCAAGCAAACACAGGCACAGGUCACCAAAUCUUCAGGCCAUACAAGGAGUGAAAUUCCAGUCUUCGUUUCUUGAAAAUACCUCCAAACUUCCAAGGGAUGCUCUUGGAGAUAGGAAGCAGCAGUUCUGCCCCAGGACACCUGAACCUGCAUUUUGCCCAAGCUGGCCACCUGUUUCUGUCUCAGUCUUCUUAUAUUUGUACUGGAGGGAUGAAGGUAGGAGGAUGUUACUGAUAGUCAUUCUUUAAAUUGUCAUCUCUCAGGUAGCACUGUAGAAGGUGACUGGGCCCAACUGGUAGAGGCUCCAAGAACUUUGGGUUUCAACUUUGGGUCUUGGCUGUGCAAUGUGGGGACAACAGGAAAAAUUCUACUAAGUCUCAGCACCUGAUAAACAGUGCUUAAUAAGUGCUAAUGGGUAUUAUUGAUCAGAGCUCAACUCGAAGAGUCUUGCAUUGAGAAGCAGGGCGGACCAGGAGUCAGAGUGGACCAGGAGCAAAGCUGCAGAUGACAAGCGGUGGGACUCCUUCAGUACCUGCAGGCCAGGAAUACACUUGUUCUCCAAACCUGGUGUCAGUUGGAGUCCGGGCGAGGGUAGGGCAAAGGUGAGGAGCGGAGAGGGCAGGACAUAUUCACGCCAUUCUUUUGCUGUUCGUCCUUCAGUGCCUCAGAGGUGGCAGGAAAGAGCUGAGUGAAGCUGAGAUUGAAAUGCUCUGGAAUUCGUGGCGUCAUGAAGAUACAGCCUGGCUAACUAUCCCCAGACCCAUUUCCUCUUUUUCUUCAGCACACAGGUAGACUACAUUUCUCAGCCUCUCUUGCAGUUGGGCCUGGCCACAAGACAGAGUUGUGGCCGAUAGCAUGUGAGUGAAGAUGUCUCCCGUUUCCAGCCCUGCCCGUGGAAAUCUUCCAAGGCAUGAUACUCCAGAUGCUUAUCUUUUUUGCAGCCUUGAUGCAGACAAACAACUUUGGAGGCUACACAUAAAGAUGGCAGAGCCAAAAGAUACAAGGGACCUCGAUCCCUGAGUCACUUUGUGGAAGGCUGCCUCCCUACCAGGAACACCCACAUUUAACCGUCAUGUGAGUGAAAGGUGUAUGCUUUUGUGUGGAGACAUUUCAGUUAUAGGGUAUGUUUGUUGCAUCAGCUGGCACUGCCUUAUCGGACACACGAGUUCACAGAGCAAAUGAGAAAAUUAGCUUGCAUCCUCACUGUCCACACUAUAAGAAUUUCUCCGAGUUUCAGGAAUGUAUCUGCCAUGCUCUACAAAGUAUGCACAAUGUUUUAAUUCCACUUCACAGAAAGGUUUUCUUUCCAAACCCUCUUCAGGGGCCUUCCCUAUUAAAAAGUCCCAUUUAUAGAAACUA